CAUCUUUUUUUGAAAGGCCCAAUUUCAUAGGCUUCUCUUAAGGUUACUCCUCCUCCAUCACUGCCGCUGAACAUACCACAUCGCUGCCGCUGAACAUACCACAUCGCUGCCGCUAAACAUAUCACAUCGCUGCCUGAACCGUCGAACAUCGCCGCCUUCUCCAUAUAACACCUCCUUCUUUGUCGUCCCGUUGCGUGUCAAUUGCUCGCUACUUCCAUCGAGAACGCCGAGCUUCUACCGCUGUCAACCGUCUAUUGCCGGAAUGGGAGACAUGCUUGGUGGUGGCUCGUGAAAAGCGCAAGUUGCUGGAACAAUGAAAUUAAUAAUUACGUUUUUAACAAAAUUAAAAAUUGGGUUUGGUUUUUCUUGUUGCUUUGAUUCUUGCAACUGUUAAAGAUUUUUUAGAUUUUUUUCUUAUUGCUUUGAUUCUCGAGCAGAGCCGCCGGAAGAGAAGGCGGAGGCGAUGGAGGUGUCGAAUUUGAAAAAGAAAUGAAGGAAGGCAUGGAGGUUGGGAGGAGACGCAUCAGCGGGGAAGAAGAGGAAUAGGUGUGGGUAGAAGAUGAAUGUAAAAAAUGCAGAAAUAAUCCCUGUAUUUUUUAGAUGUGUUUAAUAAAGAAACAAAUUUAAGAUUCAAAAACUACACCGUUUUGAUGACAAGGAUGAGUUCUUCCAUGGGUUGGGACAACAUGGCAUUAUUCGGUGCCAUAUAAGCAAAUUUAUACCGGAAUCUGAACCGGUGUUAUUAUUGCAAAAA